GAUGAAGAACGUAGUAAAAUGCGAUAAGUAAUGUGAAUUGCAGAAUUCAGUGAAUCAUCGAAUCUUUGAACGCACAUUGCGCCCGCUGGUAUUCCGGCGGGCAUGCCUGUUCGAGCGUCAUUUCAACCCUCAAGCCCCCGGGUUUGGUGUUGGGGAUCGGCUCUGCCUUACGGCGGUGCCGCCCCCGAAAUACAUUGGCGGUCUCGCUGCAGCCUCCAUUGCGUAGUAGCUAACACCUCACAACUGGAACGCGGCGCGGCCAUGCCGUAAAACCCCAACUUCUGAAUGUUGACCUCGGAUCAGGUAGGAAUACCCGCUGAACUUAAGCAUAUCAAUAAGCGGAGGA
rnacentral:misc_RNA from 1 species